GACGAACGCUGGCGGCGUGCCUAAUACAUGCAAGUUGAGCGCUGAAGGUUGGUACUUGUACCAACUGGAUGAGCAGCGAACGGGUGAGUAACGCGUGGGGAAUCUGCCUUUGAGCGGGGGACGACAUUUGGAAACGAAUGCUAAUACCGCAUAAAAACUUUAAACACAAGUUUUAAGUUUGAAAGAUGCAAUUGCAUCACUCAAAGAUGAUCCCGCGUUGUAUUAGCUAGUUGGUGAGGUAAAGGCUCACCAAGGCGAUGAUACAUAGCCGACCUGAGAGGGUGAUCGGCCACAUUGGGACGGAGACACGGCCCAAACUCCUACGGGAGGCAGCAGUAGGGAAUCUUCGGCAAUGGACGAAAGUCUGACCGAGCAACGCCGCGUGAGUGAAGAAGGGUUUCGGAUCGUAAAACUCUGUUGGUAGAGAAGAACGUUGGUGAGAGUGGAAAGCUCAUCAAGUGACGGUAACUACCCAGAAAGGGACGGCUAACUACGUG
rnacentral:rRNA from 1 species